rnacentral:misc_RNA from 1 species
GUGAAUUGAAGGCAAGUACGUAACAAGGAAGGAGAACAAAAAUGACGAAAAAGGGUGUACGUGCAAAAAAAGCACAUCAGAUAUUUAAACUUAAUGCUUGAGAACAACAAACACACAAGAGUCGUCAAUUCAUCAUUUUGCUUUCCCACCACCCUGUCCACUCCUCUCUCCUCCAAAAGCAUUGAUUGGAAUUCAAAUAGUUUCCAGUUUUGCAUGCAAUGUUUUGCGUCUUUACCAAAUAAUGAAAAUAAAUUCAGCCAACACCAUGCCAAACUGGUGUAUGGACCAUACUUUGACCUCUAUUGCACAUGCCGUUGCAGUUUCCCAUUUAUAAUAAACAGCAGUGCUUCAGCAAAUGGAACAAGUCAAUCUCUACAGUUUAAGGACUUCAAAUAUGUGUACCAGAAACGUUUAGCAGAAACAUUCACACUCAUAAAAAUGAAAAUUAGAAAGUGAAACUUGAAGAAAUCAUAGUUUUGAUGUCGACUAAAAUGAAAAAGACGCUGACUUUUUGAAUGGA